CCCUCCUCCUCCCCCGGGCUCGAGGGAGCCUCCGAGAGUCGGGUCGUCGCUGACCGCAGGCUGCAAGGGCGGUUGAUCUGCCCGGAGACUCCAGGGAUUCCCAAGGGCUGGCAAACCAGGCCCAACCCUUGGGGAGAGCUUGGGAAACCCCUGGCAGGACGCCGGGAGGACGAAGAGCCCGGGAACGGACUGCAGGGUGGAGAAGACGACCCCGAACUGGAACGUGACCCCUCCCUUUGUUCCAGCCCCAACCCGGAUUCAUUCAGAGCCACGUUUUCUCUUUACCCAUCCAUCUACAGAAAGACGUCAUUGAGUGCAGUUCCUGAAGGUUCCACCGGCUCCAAACCAAGGAGGGGACAAAGGACUGACAUACUGAGCGUACCAUAUGGAAGGCUCUGUUGGGUAGUGCUAAGGAUGUCGGUGCGAAGUUGAAGACACAAUUCCUAAAGGCCUUCCCACCUUCCAAUCUCUGCAGCGUGCUGGGCCGUUUCUGCUGCCAGGGGUGCUCAUCCUCGAGCCUACCCAUCUCUUAAACUCCAACUCAGAAAGCCUGCUUGAAACAGCGCCAGCCACAUCUGACUCCUCUCCCCUUCGAAUGCCCAGCACAUUCAGUCUGUACCUUUCUCAUGGCACAGCGUGUGGCCUAUCUCAUAGUCUACUGAUCUGUUUACUAAUCCUGUUCUUAAAACCAGAUUAAAAAGUCCUUGAGGCAGAAACAAAGUCUGCCUCUUUGAGGCCUUCCCCCCACCCCAAUCAUUUGAGCUCAUCCCCCACAGGCCAAGUUUGGCACUGGAGUUUAUGUUCAAUAAAUGUUGGGUGUAUUGAAA